rnacentral:rRNA from 1 species
UGGGGAAUUUUGGACAAUGGGCGAAAGCCUGAUCCAGCCAUGCCGCGUGAGUGAAGAAGGCCUUCGGGUUGUAAAGCCCUUUUGUUGGGGAAGAAAUCUUGCAGGUGAAUAUCCUGCGCGGAUGACGGUACCCAAAGAAUAAGCACCGGCUAACUUCGUGCCAGCAGCCGCGGUAAUACGAAGGGUGCAAGCGUUACUCGGAAUUACUGGGCGUAAAGCGUGCGUAGGCGGUUCGUUAAGUCCGUUGUGAAAGCCCUGGGCUCAACCUGGGAAUUGCAGUGGAUACUGGCGAGCUAGAGUACGGUAGAGGAUGGUGGAAUUCCCUGUGUAGCGGUGAAAUGCGUAGAGAUCGGGAGGAACACCCGUGGCGAAGGCGGCCAUCUGGACCAGUACUGACGCUGAGGCACGAAAGCGUGGGGAGCAAACA